UACGUAGGGGGCAAGCGUUAUCCGGGUUUACUGGGUGUAAAGGGAGCGUAGGUGGUUUGGUAAGUCAGAUGUGAAAGCCCAGGGCUCAACCCUGGGACUGCAUUUGAAACUAUCAAACUAGAGUGCAGGAGAGGUAAGUGGAAUUCCUAGUGUAGCGGUGAAAUGUGUAGAUAUUAGGAGGAACACCAUUGGCGAAGGCGGCUUACUGGACUGUAACUGACACUGAGUCUCGAAAGCGUGGGGAACAAACAGG
rnacentral:rRNA from 1 species